GUAGAGCCGCGUCGCUCGGACACUUCGGCCGCGUAAACGCGAGUCGACAUUAUAUCCCUACGCGUUCCCUCUCAAAUCGACAGCAGUCACGGCCGGUCGUGGCCUCAAGUAGCCUAAAGGUCGGUGUCGCUAUGCUUAAUCAACGGCAGCGGUAAUGGCUCUCGCGCACGCCGAAAUACGCUGUCGGCCGUAUUUACCCUAGUAAGAUGACCGCGUCGUUUAUUCCG